rnacentral:rRNA from 1 species
GACGAACGCUGGCGGCGUGCCUAAUACAUGCAAGUAGAACGCUGAAGCUUGGUGCUUGCACCGAGCGGAUGAGUUGCGAACGGGUGAGUAACGCGUAGGUAACCUGCCUGGUAGCGGGGGAUAACUAUUGGAAACGAUAGCUAAUACCGCAUAACAGUAGAUAUCGCAUGAUAGCUACUUGAAAGGUGCAAAUGCACCACUACCAGAUGGACCUGCGUUGUAUUAGCUAGUUGGUGAGGUAACGGCUCACCAAGGCAACGAUACAUAGCCGACCUGAGAGGGUGAUCGGCCACACUGGGACUGAGACACGGCCCAGACUCCUACGGGAGGCAGCAGUAGGGAAUCUUCGGCAAUGGACGGAAGUCUGACCGAGCAACGCCGCGUGAGUGAAGAAGGUUGUCGGAUCGUAAAGCUCUGUUGUAAGAGAAGAACGAGUGUGAGAGUGGAAAGUUCACACUGUGACGGUAUCUUACCAGAAAGGGACGGCUAACUACGUG